AUUCUACUCCCUCUGUUGCACAAUACAUGCCUUCUAUUUGUCAAAAUAUAUAUGUAUCUAGACAUGUCUUAGUAUAUAGGUACAUCCACUUUUGGACAAAUGGAAGUCAAGUAUUUUGGAACGGAGGGAGUACACA
rnacentral:pre_miRNA from 1 species